rnacentral:rRNA from 2 species
GGGUUGUGAGGUUAAGCGACUAAGCGUACACGGUGGAUGCCCUGGCAGUCAGAGGCGAUGAAGGACGUGCUAAUCUGCGAAAAGCGUCGGUAAGGUGAUAUGAACCGUUAUAACCGGCGAUGUCCGAAUGGGGAAACCCAGUGCAAUUCGUUGCACUAUCGUUAACUGAAUACAUAGGUUAACGAGGCGAACCGGGGGAACUGAAACAUCUAAGUACCCCGAGGAAAAGAAAUCAACCGAGAUUCCCCCAGUAGCGGCGAGCGAACGGGGAGCAGCCCAGAGUCUGAAUCAGCUUGUGUGUUAGUGGAACGGUCUGGAAAGUCCGACGGUACAGGGUGAUAGUCCCGUACACCAAAAUGCACAGGCUGUGAACUCGAAGAGUAGGGCGGGACACGUGGUAUCCUGUCUGAAUAUGGGGGGACCAUCCUCCAAGGCUAAAUACU